UUCUGCGGACGCUGUUCAAAAUAAACCAGUCGCCAGAACGUGAUACGAUAAUUUAUGUCUCUUCCAUAUUCAUUUUCAACAGCAUCUGUAAAUAGAAUGUUUAAAGUCAGUCAACAAAUUUUUUUUAAAUUGAACAUCAUAUCAAUCAACGCUAUGAUUUUUUGUGAUAAAAUUCAAUGGUAAAAAUCAAUUGGAAAAUAUUGUAUAGUGUUUUUUUUUAUUUUCAAAUAGCAUCGCAGCAAACAUUAAUAAUUUUUAUUACUAUUAAUAUUAAGGAGAUAGUUAACAGAUCAAACAUAUAAAGAAGGGAAAGAUUCGAUUCGAUAUUUGUUGUAUCUUCCAUAUGGUAUCACCAGUACAAUUCCAAACUACUGUUCAAUGAUAUUAUGUUUAAACUUUGCUUCGUUCGUUUUAAAAAACUACAGAAGAAAUAAAAUCAAGCAUUGCUAACUUAACUUAGAGGUAAAUUGAGAAAAAUCGAUUUUUUACAUAAUGUUUGGAGUGGCGAGAAGAUAAAUUUACAUUAUAAGACGGUUUUGUUGACAAAUAAAGCUACCAAAAAGAACAAGAAUCAUUAAAGUUUUAAAUUCCUGCAAAGCUUCAAGACGUGUCUAACGUGUUCCGAUCAUAAUGCAUUUUAAAUAUGCUGGUAUAUUCUUUUUAUACUUUUUUUAUUAUUAUCAACUAGCAAACGCAACAGAUCAACCAAAGGAAGUAUUUGAUUAUGAGAAUGUUGGUAUAAUGUAUGAUGAGGUACUUCUUGCGGAUCAAGAGGACAGAUUACACAGUUCCAAGUUUUCUGAGUUUUUGCUGAAACAUUUUAAAUUUUUGAAUAGAGGAAAAGUUACCAGAGAUGGAAUAAGACGAUACUUAUAUGACAACAUAAAAUAUGAAUUAAAUGACUACCAAGUGGAUGACCUUACAGCACACUUGCCGGCGAAGGGCCAUAUAUCAAAAGACGAUUUAAGAGAUUUGUUUCUUGUUUAAUAUGGACGCUACAACACCAGCAGGCGGUGGAUUUAAAAAUUUACCGCCUCUAGGCAAGUAUGAUAUUCAUCACCCUUUUACCAGUAGAUUUUUCGUUUCU